rnacentral:lncRNA from 1 species
GAGAGUAUCCUCUCACCUCGUGUUUGGCGAACCAACAAAUUUGGGUCGAAUACUCUACCCUCGAAAACUGCUACGAUCCCAUGCGCUGGUGGGCCGUCAACAACAUUCUUCUAGUUUCGAUUGUCGGAGAGUGCUAGCAGCAUUCUUCUGGUGCCGUUGCAAGGGAAGGUCUGCUAUUAUGGAGUCAACAUUUUUUCUGGCGCCGUUGCCGGGGACGUAUUUCUAUAUUCUGUGAGUCACUUGGGAUUUAUAUCUGCUGAUCACUAUGAAGAAUGUGAAGGAUCCAAAAACCGAAGUCUUGCC